UGCCAGGCUAACUACAUCUCUGGGUGCACCCUCUAUGAAGUCUCUGGCCACCUCCUCUAUUGGGGUGGAAUCACACAAGUCUCUCUGGGUCUUAGGCUGCAGCCCCUUCUAUAUCAACCAUGAUUACCCCAGGAGGUCCGAUUUAUGUCCAGUACUUGCAAGUCUGUUCUCUAUCAGAGCAACGGUAGUGAUAAGCGGUGACCAAACAGCCUUCUAAAACAAAGUCUGAAGUGCCAGAGGAAAACAUGCUGCUGCUCUUAGCAAGAAGAAAUUUAGAAGGGACCAAACUACACAGCUCUCCUGCGAUCACUAUUAGAGUGAGAGCUCCAGAAGCAGAAUUCUCCUGGAAUGAAAAUCUAAUCCCCCAUGACUAUGCACUCCUCUCUUUUCUCUGUGACUCUAAUAAAUGCACGCUGAGCUCACCCCCACAUAUGCAGGAAAGACCCAUGUGACUGGACAGGGAGACCUUUAAGAAAAGACCACUAUUUGCAUAUCUGUUAUAACUAUGCUCAGUGUUAUAUUUGUUUCAUUAAAAUUUCGAUUUGGAUAAUAUGUAAGGUCAAUACUGUUACUGUUCUGGAAAAUUCAUUUAUUUUUAAAUUAAAGCUAAAUACAAUGGGUCUGGUUCUGAUCACAAUUAGACUGGUGUAACUCCACUGAGGUCAAUGACAUGACGCUGCCAUGAGAUCAAAAUCAGACACAAUAUAUUUAGAGAGAAUACAAGGGGUGGAAAAUUUGCCAAGUACACACAUGCUGGGUUUUUUUCAAGAUAAUUCUUUGGUUACAAAUGUCUGAAUUCCCGGUUCCUCUACAUCCAAGGAAUGUUUACUACUUCAGCUGAGUGUCCACUAAUGUCUGCUCGCUCUUUACACAGUGAUUAAGAUAUAUAAGGAAUUACAUAGGUUUACUUCAAGUGCUGGGCUCCACUGAGGUUACCAACCCUCAUUCUCCAGUUGUUGCUCUGUCCCUUGGCUGUAGCUCCAGAUGUUGGUAUUUACAAUUUAAUCUGAUCUAAGAACUGAUGCCCACCAAUACAAUGACCCCAUUUGCCAAUGCCUGUGCCUGAAUUAAGGCUGCAGAAAACUAUUUUUGGCACUGGGGAAUAGACCCUUUCAAUCAGGAGCUUGGAAGGUUUUUGCUCUGUUUUUCAGCUGGCUUUGUGGCAGACUCAAAUGUUGCCUCUGUCAAAAGUUCCCUCAGUGUUCUGCUUCUCCAGAGUUUAUGGUCGCUUGUGUUGUCUCUGACUUAUGGAUGGCAUUUAACAUCCCUUGAACGGCAUCCGUUUGGAUUCUCAGAAAUCAGGAAAGGGGAAGAAAUAAUCUAGGACAGCUGAGAUUGCUAUGAAAUUACAGGUGGCUUUGUUGAAUGAACUUCACUGGAUACACAGGAUUUCAACUUUAAGAGAACUGGUUUGAAAGCAGCUCGAAGGUGCACAUUACCAUUUUGUGACUGCAUGGGGAUCUGCUGCAAGUGAAAUGAACAUAGAGGUCUCAGCCCAGAGAUACCCGAGGACAGGCGCUCGCAUCACAAAAACUGUUCCCAACCAUGUUCUUUGCAAUCUCAACAGAGCUAGUCAGGCAGAGGUACUGGAACAAUUUGUGUAGUGGGGGUGCUGAGAGCCAUUGAACAAAACUGUAAACCUGUAUAUGAUGAAAACCACUUCAAGCCAGGGAGUGCGGUAGCACCCCUAGCUCAGCACCUAUGUAGAGGGAGACUGCAUUAAACAAGGAGACUGGUCUUACAACUAGAGAUGAGGAAAUUUGGCAUUGGUGUUUCAAGUGCUGCCUCCUUUCUUCAGUAGGAACCCCAGUCUCCAGCACUACUUCUCAACAUUACAUUCACUUGUAAAUGAGAGACUAAGUUAAUCACGAAUCUACAGCAGAACCCAACAGAAGAAUUUCGAAAAAUGCCUUCUCCAUUAAACCUCCCAUCUCUAACACAAACAAUAGAUUGUUAACAUUGAUUAAAAAAGAUAUUCCACUGAAGUUCAGGCAGUAGCCGGAUCUGUUAUCUAUCAGAAGUAUUUGAAGUUUUCCCUUGACAUGAAUCCCUUUAGGGAGAGACAUUUUAUGGGAGUGCAUCUGGAAGGAAGCAGUUUAGUUUUAGGAGCUGUUUGCUGCAGAUCUUCCGGUCUGCUAGAUUGGGAGAAGAAUAAAAUCCAAUGGUGCAACAGAGAUAUGCUUCCUGGAACUACUGUUAGCUUUGUAACAGCGCUGGGGAUUCUCAUAUGGCCCCUGUUACUGAAGUAUCUCAAGCAACUCAUAAUUUG